rnacentral:rRNA from 1 species
GAUGAACGCUGGCGGCGUGCCUAAUACAUGCAAGUCGAGCGAACAGACGAGAAGCUCGCUCUUUUGACGUUAGCGGGGGGCGGGCGGGUAAGAAGUGGAUCACAUACUUCUAUGACUGGGAUAAUAUCGGGAAAAAGGUGCUACUACUGGCGCAUAUAUUGUACGGCUUGGAUCAAUAGUUAUUCGCGCCUUUCCCGUCUCUUUUAGACGGAUCCGCGCCGCAUUAGCUAGUUGGUAAGGUAACGGCUAACCAAGGCAACGAUGCGUAGCUGACCUGAGAGGAUGAUCGGCCACACUGGAACUGAGACACGGUCCAGACUCCUACGGGAGGCAGCAGUAGGGAAUCUUCCGCAAUGGGCGAAAGCUUGACGCAGCAACGCCGCGUGAGUGAUGAAGGCCUUCGGAUCGUAAAGCCCUUUUAUUAGGAAAGAACAAAUGUGUAUGAAAACAUGCACGUUUUGACGGUACCUAAACAAAAAGCCACGGCUAACUUCGUG